UGGGGAAUUUUGGACAAUGGGCGAAAGCCUGAUCCAGCAAUGCCGCGUGUGUGAAGAAGGCCUUCGGGUUGUAAAGCACUUUUGUCCGGAAAGAAAUCCUUGGCUCUAAUACAGUCGGGGGAUGACGGUACCGGAAGAAUAAGCACCGGCUAACUACGUGCCAGCAGCCGCGGUAAUACGUAGGGUGCAAGCGUUAAUCGGAAUUACUGGGCGUAAAGCGUGCGCAGGCGGUUUGCUAAGACCGAUGUGAAAUCCCCGGGCUCAACCUGGGAACUGCAUUGGUGACUGGCAGGCUAGAGUAUGGCAGAGGGGGGUAGAAUUCCACGUGUAGCAGUGAAAUGCGUAGAGAUGUGGAGGAAUACCGAUGGCGAAGGCAGCCCCCUGGCAAGUACUGACGCUCAUGCACGAAAGCGUGGGGAGCAAACAGGAUUAGAUACCCUGGUAGUCCACGCCCUAAACGAUGUCAACUAGUUGUUGGGGAUUCAUUUCCUUAGUAACGUAGCUAACGCGUGAAGUUGACCGCCUGGGGAGUACGGUCGCAAGAUUAAAACUCAAAUGAAUUGAC
rnacentral:rRNA from 1 species